UGGAGGAAACCAUUGAGGCUGCCAAGGC
rnacentral:piRNA from 1 species